rnacentral:rRNA from 1 species
AAUACCAAGGCGCUUGAGAGAACCACAUUUAAGGAACUCGGCAAAAUACCUCCGUAAGUUCGCGAGAAGGAGGCCCGGUUUUUACGCAAGUAGAGGCCGGGGGCACAAACCAGGGGGUGGCGACUGUUUACUAAAAACACAGGGCUCUGCGAAGUCGCAAGACGACGUAUAGGGUCUGACGCCUGCCCGGUGCCUGAAGGUUAAAAGGAGGGGUGAGAGCUCUGAAUUGAAGCCCAGGUAAACGGCGGCCGUAACAAUAA